UGGUGAUGGUUCUGAGGACUUCCGACUCAGCAGCGGGAGUGGCAGCAGCAGUGAGACUGUGGGCCGAGAUGACAGCACAAACCACCUGCUCCUGUGGAGGGUGUGAGCCUGCCCUCUGUGGUCCAGAACUCACCUGUCCACCUGCCCUCAGCCUGCCUGUCUCUUCCCAGGCCAUGUGCAGACCUUGAGCAGAGUGUCCAAGCAGGGGCAUACCGUGCGGACUCUGUCUCAUCUUUGUGGAAGCAUUCCUGGUAGAACAGCACCAGCUAGGCCGAGGCCUCUCUUACCCACUGACUACCCUAGCGCUCCCACUAGGAGCAGGGUGGGGAUGUGGGGACUGCCCAGGACCUCUGACCCUGAAGCUUCUACCAAAGACACAGCUGGGCCUGGACCCCACAGGGCUGGGGAGGCCGUGUGCAAUAUAUGGAGAGCGCUCUGGGGCAGUGGGAAGGAAGGCUAAGGGGCGGCACUGCACCCUUCCCUGUGUACAGUAUUUAUGUUACUUUUCAGAUGAAUACUUUCCAAAGCACUUAUUUAUGCAGUGACCUAGGGCAGGACAUGAUGUGAGGAGGAGAAGACAGAAGGAUAAAAGUCUGUUCCUGCCUGAGAGGCCACCAUGGAACCCUAACCAGGCUGUCCUGGAAGGACCAAUGCCCAUCUGUUUUACACACACACACACACACACACACACACACACACACACACACCCCACUCAACACAUUCACACUCACUCUGCAUGUUCAGGGCACUAAGACACUGUCCCUUAACAUAAACUCCAGCCCUCGCUGAUGGGGCUGCCCAUCCUAGUCCAGAAGGGAAGUUUGCUCAGUUACUCUCACUGGGGAGCUUCCCGGGGCUUAGCAUUUCCAAGGUGAUGCCUGAGGUUCCUUAAUGUGGGAGCAUCGGUAGGUCUGGGACAGGGCUUUCUCAGGUAAGAGAAAAGGGCCUUCAGUCCUCGAAGCUGGCUCAAGCCCCAGCUCCUGCCUCCCCAUGUCUCAUGCACUGGCACGAUGGUCACCUUGUGGGUGGGCCUACGAGUCCCCUUUCUCUGACCACUGAAUCGACUCCCUCUCUAAACAUCCACCCUGCCAAGGGCAGCCCCUUCAGGAAGGACACCCCACCCCUACCUGCCGAGUUGAGGGGCUAGGCAUAGCCUUUUCAACUGGGAAUGCUAGCCCUCAUCGCCAGGCUGCAGGGAGCCAGCCACCCUGACCCUCAGCCCUUUGCUUCAGCUACAACUCCAAAGGUCUGGUUUCAGAUAGGGUUUAUUUGUUCUGUUUGAUUUUGUUUUUCUCUGGGGCGGGUGGGUCAUUGUGGUCUUAGAUGAUGUUUCUCUUGCUACCAAACAGCCAUGUAUUAACUCUCCUCGGAUGGUGAAAUUUAAAGAGUCAAUAAAUAGAAACACCAAAUGAUGGCUCCCCCGG
rnacentral:lncRNA from 1 species